GAAAUGUAGGGAUAAAGAGAGAGAGAGAGAGAGGAGAGAGCACCUCUUUCUCACUCAGCAAUCUUAUGUUGUAUUUUUCUACUGGUUGAGUGACUCUAUAAUCAGAACCAGAAUAAUAGACCAUCAAUUAUCCAAGUAGAGAAAAUAUAUUAAUCUUUAAAAAACCCAAAUAUAUUUCUUUUAAAAUUUGACAUUGAAUGUUUAUACAAACAAUAAUAAUCCUAAAACUCUUUAUUUUCAUUGAACAGGUUAUGACCCAGACUUCCCACAUCAUGGACACAGCAAGCUCCCAAUACAUCACAGCAAGCUUCUCAUUUAGACUACAUCAAUGUUCUAAGUGUCCGGGGGACACAGCGUACUAUUGUGUAUCGUGUCCAUGUGAUCUGUGUCCCCAGUGUAAAGAGAACCACGUAAAAGAUCUCCAAACAAUAGACCAUGAUGUUGUGUCACACCGUGAUAAACUCAACUACAUCCCAACACAAGAGAUCUGUGUGAGACAUCCUAGCCAUGUUUAUACAAAGUACUGUGAACCUUGUCAAGUUCCUGCCUGUAAUAAUUGCCAAACACAUAGAAAACACACUCAGAUAGAUGUUAUAACAGCCUAUAAAACAAAGCGACAACAACACAGAGGAACCAUUCACACCAUCAGAAGUGAGGCUCUCUUUUACAGACCUGUUCUCCUGACAGAAAUCAAAGCUGAUGUCAAAACCUGUCACACAGAAUUCUCCCCCCUUCAAUCAGAGAUGUUAACAAAGGCCCAGAGACUGAAGGAUCUCAUUGACUAUGUGGUAUAUGAUCUAUUGAACAAUGUGUUAUGUUACUUUGAUUUUAAACACAGAUGUAAAAAACAAAAGAUAGAAAUGAUCAGACAUAUUGUCAGACUAAGGAGAUAUGAACACAGAUAUGUACAGCCAGCAUUCACAUUCAGUGCGCUACAAUUCCUCUCCUUCACAAAGGCAGCCCUCCCCCAGAUACAUCUUACACUCCACACCAGCCAGCUCUCCAUGACUGAGUCACUCAACAAGGAGGAUGUGAUGGAGUCACUGAGUGCAAUGCAAAUCACAGAGAGAGGAAACCGACGCGUAGGAAACCAGUGUCUGCUGAAACUGACGUCUGGUGCUGAGUUCCAUCAAUCUCUCACAGUGCCAGGUGUUGAUUGUUGUCGUCACAUUUCCUGUGUGACAUCAGACCGGGUCUGGGUCAGUGAUUUUAACAAUUUCAUGUUGACAGACACAACAGGUGUCCCUCUACAUCGUGUGGAGGAUUCAUUGAGUGGUGAUGGAGGAUCACACACAGUGAACAGUGAGAGUGAACUGAUUUAUAUAGAUGAGGAUUAUAACAUCAACAAACUGUCAAAGGAUAUGAAAACAACCACCACAUUUAUAGAGACAACAGACUCUACAUGGAGACCACGGUGUGUGUACUGGUCCCCGUCCACUGGGGAUCUACUGGUUGCGAUGUUUAACAGUGAUACAUACACAGGCAAGGUAACCCGGUACAACCAGAGUGGACAACUCACACAAACCAUACAGUACCACAACACAGGACGGGGACUGUAUAGAUUACCUCGCUAUAUAACAGAGAACAACAAUGGGGAUGUCGUGGUGUCUGACUUUGAGUUUCGUGCUGUAGUGGUGACAGAGCGUGGAGGAAGACAUCGUUUCUCCCACACAGGACAUCCAUCAGGAUCAGGACUACAGCCAUGGGGAAUCUGUACUGACGCGCUGUCACACAUCCUGGUGUGUGAUGGUAGAACCGACACAGUACAGAUGAUAAAUAAGGACGGUCAGUUCCUGUCACAUCUACUGACAAAAUCACAAGAGAUGGGUAGACCAUGGGGCCUGGGUUAUGAUGUCAACACUCACCGUCUCUGGGUCGGAUCACCGUGGAACAACAAGGUGUGUGUCUACAGGUAUAUCACCAGACAGGACGCUCUGACAGAUGAACACAGACCCCGUCCUGAUGAAGACACCUGAUACACGACACCUCGUCACAACAACUCAUCAACUAAACGAAGAUGAACACAGACCCCGUACUGAUGAGGACGCCAUGUCCAGCUCAACACCAGCCGUAUAAUGGAGAUAGCUGGGAUAUUGACAGACAAGCUGCUUUUUAAACACCUUCAGGGGGAGACAUUAGAAAACCUUCCCGGAUUAUCCAUAAUUCCAAUGGAGUUACAGAAGCCAAAUAAUUACCGGUCAUCAACGGACUUUGUGUUCUGUGCGUGAACUCUACAUAAACGUUUCAUGAAUGGACUCUGUAUCUGUGUAGGUGAACAAAAAUAACGCGUCAUCAAUGGACACUGUUGCUGUGUAUGUGAACUCUGCACAAAAAUAACGCGUCAUCAAUGGUCUCUGCGUUCUGUGUACAUGAAAUCUGCACAAAAAUAAUGUAUCUGUCUGCCUGAACUCUACAUAUAUAACGCGCCAUCAAUGGACUCUGUAUCCGUGUGCGUGAACUCUACAUAUAUAACGCGCCAUCGAUGGACUCUGUAUCCGUGUGCGUGAACUCUACAUAUAUAACGCGCCAUCGAUGGACUCUGUAUCCGUGUGCGUGAACUCUACAUAUAUAACGCGCCAUCGAUGGACUCUGUUUCUGUAUAGGUGAACUCUACAUAUAUAACGCAUCCUCAAUAGACUCUGUGCUCUGUGUACCUAAACUCUUUAUGAAUAAGGCAUCAUCAAUGGACUCUGUCUUUUGUGUACGUGAACUGUACUGUAAUUUGUUAUCAUACGUUUUUUGUCAAUUUUAUCUAAGUGUAAAUUUUGUCAGUAUAUAAUAUGUUUUACAUAUCUAAGCUCCUGAAAUUUCUGGUAUCAUUCGGUGCUAGGACGGAGAUGUCCAUUACAAUUGUAGCCAAUGUGUCACAUAUUGUUUUUUUUGUAAUUUUGAUUUUUACACAAGAAAUCUUGUAUGUUGUAAUAAACAUUAUAUUCAAAGGGGAAUAACUCAAAAUGUGUAUUUUUCAGUCAGGAUGAAAAAACAGUUAUUCCCCUUAUAUAAUUUUCAUAAGAUGGAAGUUUUACUUAAAAAUGAGAAAUGAAUUUGAUGGUGUUUAUCCGUGACAGUUUUAUUGGUAGGAUUGAUCAUUUGGAAAGAAGUGAUCUGAUAAGCUUUUGAUAAGAAUUUGAUAAGUUUUCGUUGGGUUUUUUUAUACAAUGUUAUGUAGUUUUAAUUUCAAUAUAUUAAUAGUUGAUGUUAGUUUUUAAUUGAUUAAGUUUGAGCUGUGCCUGUGUAACAAUUGGUGCAUCAUAUAUUGCUUGUUAUGCUCAAAAGGUAGGUCACAGUGACCCAAUUAGAAUUAUGGUAGUUUAUAGUGAAACUAUUUUAGAACAUAUCUAUUUAUUUGAAAAAAUAAACUAACUUGUGUUUUAGAAAUGAUGUACCAUUAAUUAUACCAGAAGUCAUAUACUCAUGUAUAUAUCAAUUUGAAAGUAGGUCUUGAUGACCUCAAUUUGUAUUUAGCAUGUUGUUAAUCCUAUGUGUUUGUUAAUGGUGUUUAAGCACAUUUCUCACACUCUGUAUCUCUGUUGACCAGAUAGAUAGGACAACUCAAGUUAAUGUCAUUUAUUUGGAGAAAUAUUGUACGCAAGUUUAAGCGAGAUGAUUUUUUUGUGUUUACCCACACAAUAAACCUGAUGAAAUACAUUUAUAACAUAUAUAUAUAGUAUUAUGUUUAUUUUUAUUGUGUUUACUCUUACCAUGAAAAACAUAAUACUUGUAUACAAAUGAUGUUUGGGGAAAUGUAGCGAGCUGUAGAUAAAAGUCAAUAAACUUAAAGUGACAUGUC